rnacentral:misc_RNA from 1 species
AGUGUGAAAGAUGUCGCUGCCCCCUUUGUAUGGAUAUUAACCGAGUUCAAACUCCAGGAGAACCAAGCUUACAUUUAUGCCACUAUCCCAACUGUGGGAAGGUUUACAAAAAGACUUCUCAUCUCAGAGCUCAUCUUAGGUGGCAUAUAGGAGAUCAACCAUACCCUUGUUCUUGGCCCGGCUGUAGUAAACGGUUUACAAGGUCUGACGAGCUUCAUCGCCAUUUUCGAAUACACACGGGGGAGCGUAGGCACAAGUGUAGUGUGUGUGAUAAAUCAUUUUCAAGAUCGGAUCAUUUAAAGAAACACAUGAUGAGUCAUCAUUCACAAGAGUCGGACCGUAUCCUCUCACAUAGAUCAGAUGGAGAACUAGAGAUAGAUCCAACCCAACUAUUAGAAGUUGAAGACUAUGGUUCAAUGGAUGGUGAAGAUACAUGAUUUAAACCAGAAACAGUCCGUUAACAACUCUCAGCUAGAAGAGGUGAACGCCAAAAAUGUCAGAUGAUCAUUAGAGACACCUAUUGUGAAAUUUUUAAACUGCAUAAAGUCUGUUCCUUAGUUCAGUAAUGUAAUGUAAUGGCAGAAAUGACUCUGUAUAUGAGGUCCGUCCUUAUUCAUUAAUUUAGAAUUCUGUUAAAAAGAAUUUUUUACCAAAAAUAAUAUUUUAAAGAUAGAAAAAUGCAUGUUUUGUUCUUUAUAGUACUUUUCUUUAAUUUCGUAACAAUUCUAUAAAGUUGUGAUCAAAAUUCCAGUUGCAUGGACUCUUCACAAAAUUGAAAACCGGCAAGUUUAUGUAGUUUGUAUAUUUUGUAAACAACAUACAGUCAGAAUACCAGUAGUUUCUGUUUAGAAAUAGUUGAGAUGUUUAUUAAUAGAGUCAUUAUGCUUAAUUUCUUAAUGGGAGUAUUCAUAUUCAUCAUUUUUUUCUAUUGUAAAAUCAAUAUUUGUCAUAUCUUCGAAAAUCGUGUUUUACUGGGGGGGGGGGAGUACGUAUUGUAAAAUUAUGCUAUUCGUAGUUAGUUCCCAAGCUGUUUGUGUUUGUGCAAAUAAAAAAAAUUAAAAAAAAGACGAGAGAAUUCUACCUCAUAACUUUUUAGAUUUGUUACUAUCUUAAAUAUAUCUUAAAUAUAUUGCAUUAUAUACCUAUUUUUAGAACAAAAAUUGGUUAGUUUUUAAAAACUUUUAAAAUGUCAAAACUGUAUUCUGUUGAAGUUUGCUUUUUAAGCUUGCGAUAUUUUUAACCUAACAGACAAUUCAAAAGAAAAAAACAGAAAACACGGUUUUUGUAUUUAUUUUCUCUCGGGGUUAAAAGUUGGCACAAAGUGUAAGGAAUUCAUGUGUAUCCCUUCAUAUGUUCAGAACCUAAUAAAACAAAUUUAAUUAUUUCAUAUCACUAAUUAUACUCCCUGCCCCCCCCCCCUCCUCUGACUAUUUUACCAAAGCAGAAAACUGUGCUCAUAUUUGAGAAUAUCUUAGUAACUCCUCUUUAAAUUGCUACUUUGUAUUAGUCUUUUCUGAAAAAUAAAACUUUAAAAAAAUGCUUUAAUUGAAAAAAAAUAAUGGCAGUAACUAUGUAUUUUUUAUCUUAAAACAAAAAGAAAAAAACUGUUAAAUAUUUUGUUAAAUCGUUAUUAAAAUCUUCGAGCGAUAAAGCUUCAACUUAAAAACAAUUUUUUUACUAGAAUCUUACUUUUUUUUGAAAAAAAACUUAAUUUUGAGCUUAACAUAGUCCUUUCUAAUGUGAGUUUUAACUUAAUAUUAAAUACGUUUUUAAUCUUUGAAAAAUGAUAUUUCUCGCUAUGUUUUUUUCUCUUAUAUGCUGUUUUUUUCUUGUAAUAAUGGUUUUAAAUUGUCAGAAAGCUGAUAGUUUUAUAUAUGAUUUUAAGCUAACCUUUAUGCAAUAAUGGCAAUGAUUCACAAUAGUACCCUCGAAACCUUUUUCAGAUUAAUAAUCUUUCUAAUUCUAAGGUUUUUUUCAUUAAUGUUUUCUUGCAGUUGUAAUGCGCAAGUGUUCAAAUAUUUAUACAAACAAGGAUAUCUAAUUCAAACUUGAUCAGACCAAGUUUAUAAUGGUAUAUCAAUACGAAUUGGACAUUUUCAUCUUUGCAUAAAGGGUCGCUUGAGAUUGCGUUUACAAUUCCUUUAGUAUGUUAUGUAGUUUCAUGUUAAACUUAUGUGAUAAAAAUUUGAUAGAUAGACAAAUCACAUUGAAAUAAAUGUUAUUUUGUAUUA